ACACAAUUAUUGUGACGUUUAUAAAUACCAUUUACUGCGUUUAGUAUAUUGGGAGGUUUAACAUUAAAUCGGUGCAGUUCCUCUAGUGGAGAAAAUGGAGAGAAGAAUGCGCUUUGCUUUGCUGGUCACUGUGUGUAUUUUCCUGGUCUUGUCAGGACCGACAUUCGUGGAGGCUAGGUGUGUCCGUAACAGUGGCGGUAACUUGUAUUGCCGGGAGGUUUACUAUAGAGACUUUGGGGCAGAUAUCCGAUACAUGUGUGGGGACCGUAAAGCUCGCCAGGAUUGUUGUCUCUACUGUAAAAUAUUCAAGUAGAGGGAGAAUUACUGCAACAGCUUCAACAUCAUAUACACAGUGGAUUCUUGGAAUGGAUGACCACACCGCCCAGCACAAGAUGAUUCAGAAUGAUAUUUGACACACAAGACUUAUGAUUAAAAGUAGAGAAUGUAA